UCACACAGGCAGGACCGUGAGACUCACACAGGCAGGACUAUGAGGCUCACACAGGGCAGGACUGUGAGACUCACACAGGGCAGGACUGUGAGACUCACACAGGGCAGGACUGUGAGGUUCACACAGGGCAGAACUGUGAGGCUCACACGGGGCAGGACUGUGAGGCUCACACAGGCAGGACCGUGAGG